AACGAACGCUGGCGGCAGGCCUAACACAUGCAAGUCGAACGCCCUAGCAAUAGGGAGUGGCAGACGGGUGAGUAACACGUGGGAACCUUCCCUAUAGUAUGGAAUAGCCCAGGGAAACUUGGAGUAAUACCGUAUACGCCCGAGAGGGGAAAGAUUUAUCGCUAUAGGAUGGGCCCGCGCAGGAUUAGCUAGUUGGUGAGGUAAUGGCUCACCAAGGCGACGAUCCUUAGCUGGUCUGAGAGGACGACCAGCCACACUGGGACUGAGACACGGCCCAGACUCCUACGGGAGGCAGCAGUGGGGAAUAUUGGACAAUGGGCGCAAGCCUGAUCCAGCCAUGCCGCGUGAGUGAUGAAGGCCUUAGGGUUGUAAAGCUCUUUUGCCGGGGACGAUAAUGACGGUACCCGGAGAAUAAGUCCCGGCUAACUUCGUG
rnacentral:rRNA from 1 species